UACGUAGGGGGCUAGCGUUGCUCGGAAUGACUGGGCGUAAAGGGCGCGUAGGCGGCUUGCACCGUCAGAUGUGAAAUUCCUGGGCUUAACCUGGGAAUGGCAUUUGAGACUGCAAGGCUGGAGUACGGCAGAGGGAGGUGGAAUUCCAGGUGUAGCAGUGAAAUGCGUAGAUAUCUGGAGGAACACCGAUGGCGAAGGCAGCCUCCUGGGCUAGUACUGACGCUCAUGCACGAAAGCGUGGGGAGCAAACAGG
rnacentral:rRNA from 1 species